AGCCAGAUAGCACAGCGGUUAGUGCAUGGAUGUUCGAUUGGCAGUAUUCAAUCCGCUACCCUCGUUCGACUCGGGGUCUGGCCU